rnacentral:tRNA from 1 species
UGAGCUGAAGUAGCUGAGGGGAAAGCAUCGAAAUGAUAACUCCCAUUUCGUAUAUUCAGGUUCGAGUCCUGAACCAGCUCAU